AGUGAACGCUGGCGGCGUGCCUAAUACAUGCAAGUCGAACGGAGUGGCGCACGGGUGAGUAAUAUAUAGCUAAUCUGCCCCUUGCUGGAGGACAACAGUUAGAAAUGACUGCUAAUACUCCAUAGCAAGGGAUGAGACUAUAUCGUAUCAGCUAGUCGGUGGGGUAACGGCCUACCGAGGCGAUGACGCGUAACUGAUCUGAGAGGAUGAUCAGUAAAAUUGGAACUGAGACAGGGGCCAAACACUGACGGGAGUCAGCAGUAGGGAAUAUGGCGAAAUGGGGGAAAGCGUGACGCAGCAACGCCGCGUGGAGGAUGGCACUUUGCUGAGCGUAAACACCUUGUGUUAGGGAAGCGGUACCUAACGAAUAAGCACCGGCUAACUCCGUGCCAGCAGCCGCGGUAAUUC
rnacentral:rRNA from 1 species